GACUGAUGCAGACAGCUCGGCCUUCAAAUCUACAACACAUGUAUGCUAUUGCUUGUGACAGAGUCAGAGAGGAAUGGAUUGGUGAGUGAAAAGAUGAGCACGAAGAUGGAUCAAAGUUGAUGCUCGUGGAGUAAAAUAAUCAAACACCUUGCUGUUCAUCUUAUAAUAAGAAUGUGGAUAAAGGUGGAGCAAUCUGGAGUUGACCGGCAGAUGAGUAUUCUGCUGCCUGGCAUCGCAUUAACGGGAGGUCAGUAUGCAAGAGACGGAAUGUUCUUUCGGAAUCGAGAUGUCUUUGAAGGAAGAGAUGGUUAUCAUCAGCAUUAGAUGCUCCAUCUGACGCCCACCUUCAAUGGCGUGGCUGCCCAUGUCGCCUGGCGGUAGGUUAGGAAGCAGCAGCAGUCAUAUAAUUUGAUGGUGCCCUCCUCAUCACUUUCCUAAUCGUCAUCAAACAAUUCAGCACCACUUGUCUCAGUCCUUUGGGGAAGCAGAUGAAGUGAAAGAGACAGACAUGCAUGUAGUCAUCUUUUUGACCAGUAAGUAGUGAUCCAUACACACACUAUUUUUGCCUAAAAAUACAAGGCGGCGGCUCGGCAGCAGAGUCGGUGGCGAUUCCGCAGACACACAUUUGAGGAAACGUCUCAGAGAAAAUCUCUGCAAAGAUGAGCAGCAGACUCGUCCACCACAGCAGCAGCAGGAAAAAGGAGGAGGGGUUAGCCCUUCGUCUCCAUCGUCGGCCUCCAAGUCCGUGAGGGGGACCAGCAGCCUCCAAUUGCAACAGCGGCCGUCGAGCGUCCUGCCUCCGGCUGUAAUGUGGGCGGUUGCCCCAAAUAACGGAGCUGGGCUCCGUUCUGGAUGCUCCCCGUCACGGCAGGAUCAGCGGGCUCAAGCACCACUACAGUUCAUGCCACAGCCAACGAGCGGCCUGGUGGCGCAGCAUCCUGGGCUGAGCACGUCGGAGACUAAUCGGCGGAUGCUCGCGGCAUUCAAUGCUUAUCGUAGAGGUGGUGGCCGGAGCAUGAAUUCUGAGCACCACCAGCCGAUGAAUCACCAUCACCAAGUCCAACCCCCUACCUGUCAUCAACAAGGUGCAGACAGCAGAGAAGACCACCAAACCAGCUCAGAAUGAAUCUGCAAGGACGACUACCGUGCACCAGAUGAUUGCAUUCUCUAAAUUCUUUCUUCUGUUUCCUUUCUGAAGUCGGAGGACCAAAAGAUUACAAUUCAUUGGAGGCAGCAAGUACUAACAAAUCCACUGCUAGAGCAAUUCAGAAGAGGUAUUGAAGUUCCUCAGUGGUUGCUGUGGUCAAGCAAGAAGAUAAACAACAAAGCAUGCAGAGAACUUUCAGCCUGUAAAAUCUCUCCCUCUUCCCUUUCCUCCUUCCAUCUUCCAUCUCUUAUUUCCUUCCUAGUGGCAACCAUGAGUGGCUGCUCAAGGAAAUUGCUGUAGUGCCUCCUCAUUCUCUAUCUUGUCCUUUAUGUACAGUUCAAAAGUCCUCAUCAUGUGACGCAGCUUUUCUAAUACCAACCACUAACUCAGGCUUAAGUUCCUUCUAAUUAACAUGAAAAGGUUUUUUUGCUCCAAAGGCAGAUUGUGGCAGUAGAAUCCAUGGAUGACACCUUCACGAAUGGAAAUGAAGAUGUGGCUGCUCUAGAUGGCAUCGGUCGCAGUUCCAUGACCAGUAUGCAAACCUUCACUAUCUGUUUGUACAUGUGCGACCAAGACCAGUACGCAAACCUUCACUAUCUGUUUGUAUAUGAUCAGUGAUUCUAAUGUAAAAUCCCAAUACUGACACAAAACUGAGGAUCUUGCCUAGAACAGAUGCAUGCUAUAGAGGCCAUGUCUGCAAUUAAUGCAAAGAUAAUAAGAACAAAGAAGGCGUAACAAUGGCACAGUUCAAGUAGCACUUCUUCAUAGUAGUGCUGGCUUGAAUUCUAAGUGAAAGAUUAGGAUGAAGAAGUAAAUUGUAGGACAAAAGCAGUCUGCCUGCAUAAGUUUUAUGCCACACUGAGGAAACAUGGGUUUGGUGAUGAAGAUCUUUCAACCCAAAAACCUUGGCUGGAAAUGAGGGUUGGGAAUGCACAUGCCUGUGCUGUGAUACACUCAUGCAUGAGGAGGCAGAGGUUGGUGGAGCUUUACAAUAUAAUUGAGACCCAUAUCAGUCGGAUUGGUUGGUGCGGUACCAAGUUUUUGGUUGAUUCCUCAUCUGGUAGGUUUCCACAAUGAAUGCCUUCUUUGUGUCUGGCCUAUGAUUGCAGCACUCGGUUUCAGAAAACAGAUGAAGUUGGUGGAUGCAUUCUACAUAGUCACAUGUAACUCAACCACAGAGAAUUGAACCCCUGGUGCAUCUGGUAACCUGUCAACACUUGCAUCAAACUGUGGCUGAUCCAAGGAACAAUGUUUUUGUACAUCAGCAGGAUCAUUUAUUUCCCAGUGUCAGCUUCUUGUCAUGGAUUGUUCUACCUUAUCAACCUCAUUAGCCUGCCUUCAAUAUAAGGUUGAGCUUGUGCAGGAGAAGCAAUCUGAAAGAUUCAUCAUGAGGGGCCUAAAUCAGAUGUGGCAGCAACCAUCAGCUUAAGUCCAAAUCUUUUUCAUGGAAAUCAAAAGCAAUCUCUUAUUUAUGCAUGCACCCACCUGGUGUACAGUAGUUGAGGAGAAAAUUUUGGUUGAGACCUUGUGUCAUCAGCUGGUCUUCCCACAACAAUUAUCUGCUGCUACAAUGACCAGUGCAGUGACAGUCAAGAUAUUCUAGUUGUCCUGGGAAUGUGGGUAUAUAAUCCAUAAGCAGUCAACAACACAAACCAACCACAGUGAUUAGGUGAGGUAGAACCAAAGCCCCAACAGUCCUCUCCUCUCUCUAGAAGCCCUCCAACCCCCAGCCUUCAUUGUGAUGAAUAAGGCAUGGUCCAUUUGGAUUGAGACCAUUGGGGAUGGUUCCAUCAACUGGCAUUCCUUUCCCAUCUUUCCUUGUUUCUUUCAGUCCUACAGAUUGAGAAGCUGGUGAAUAAGUCAAGAAAAGGUGGCUAAGCUCUGGAAGGAAGUAAAGAAACUUCUGGUGCCCUUCCCUUCCUCUCUUAAGCUUAUUAGGAAGGUCAUGAAUGAGCCACUUGGUUCAGAGUAAAAGCUGUCAUCUUUUGAAUCUUGUAGGGUCACAUGUGCCAACUUUUCUUGUUUCCUUGAAGCUGGAUCACAGUCCAAUUGAUGGAUGGAUAUCUACAGGGAGACUGGAAGAGUGUACUGGUGCAGAUGGGCAUUGAGUGAGUGCAAGUACACAACCUGCUGCUGGAGUCAAGACUCUGGAACAUCUCAACAUAUCUCUCAUUACUUCCCUAACCUGUUGAUUGUUCUUGUCACCCCAUCUUUCUUCUCUUCUAACUUUCUAAGAUGCUUGAUUGCCUGGCCAGUAUGCAACAGUGACUGGUAGGUGAAAAGUAUAAUAAUGACCAUGACAUUGUGUUUCUGCCCCUGCUUAUUUCUAGAGAGACAAAACAGACAUUGUUUCCAUGUGUGUACUGCAUGCAACAGUUGCAAUCUAUGAUGAAA